AAAAAUCAGAGGUUAAACCUCCAGGACUACAGAUGUGACAGCAUUAAAGGGAAAUUCAUCACCCCCAAAGCUUUCAUUCCCAUAUAGUUUAGAAUCAGCCCAAACAUGAACCAAUGUUCUUUUUUCCCUUUCAUUCUCCAGGAGCACUGUGGCUCAGUUCCUUUUUGAUUUAUGAGUGUGGUUGUUGCUGAUGAGAUCUCCCAGGGAGACCUCAAUCUGCCCCAGCUAGAGGCUUGGAAAACAGUGGAGGAUCUUCUUGCUCAACCCCCUUUCUGUUGCUUUCAGGGGAUUCCAUCCAGGGCUAGGGCUAUCCAUCAAUUCAUUUGACAAUGGGCAUGUAUGAGGUGAGGGCUGUGCGGGUACAAGCUCUGUAGUGUCACCUGCCGGCAGGGGGCACAAUAGGGCAGAGCAGCAAAACGAAGGCAGUGUAUGUUACAAACGAGCUACUCUGAACUCAAAUCAGUGCACCUGGGGGAAUAAUUAAAUGAAAGACAGCAAAUCAUCAUAAAGGCUGGGGAAUUUGAGUAACAGGGAAAACCUGUUGGGCAGCAAUCAAUUUAGGUCUCUAUACAGUAUCUUUUCCUUGCUUAAUGCCAAAGAGUUCCACUGCAGCUGCCAGAGGUAUUUUACAGGGCCAAGAGGAGAUAGCAGGGAUCAGCAUAGUGCAUUGACUUCUUCAAGAAGAGCUCCUUCUUCUGAAGUCCAUCUGUAAUACAGGUGUGGGCAGCUGCAGCCUGAAGCAGAAAUGGGACUAGCAACUGGGAAGCCCUGUGUGAUUGGCGAAGAACGUUUCUGAGUGUCAUGGACCCUAGGCAAUAGCAGACAGUGUGAGAAUUCUCUGCAAUUAACAUAUUUGCAUAAAUAUUAGGAAGAGGCCUGAUUAGCACAG
rnacentral:lncRNA from 1 species